GACGAACGCUGGCGGCGUGCCUAACACAUGCAAGUGGGACGCAAGGAAACACACUGUGCUGGCACACCGUGUUUUCUUCAGUCGCGAACGGCGGAGUAACGCGUAGCUAACCUGCCGGUUAGCGUGGGGAAACUAUGGGAAACGCUAGCUAAUACCUCCUGAUGUUAAUUAUUGCAUGAUAAUUGAUGGAAAGUUGCAAUCGCAUCACUAGUAAUUAGCUCUGCGUUGUAUUAGCUAGUUGGUAAGGUAAGAGCUUACCAAGGCGACGAUACAUAGCCGACCUGAGAGGGUGAUCGGCCACACUGGGACUGAGACCAGGCCCAGACUCCUACGGGAGGCAGCAGUAGGGAAUCUUCGGCAAUGGACGAAAGUCUGACCGAGCAACGCCGCGUGAGUGAAGAAGGUUUUCGGAUCGUAAAGCUCUGUUGUAAGUCAAGAACGUGUGUGAGAGUGGAAAGUUCACACAGUGACGGUAGCUUACCAGAAAGGGACGGCUAACUACGUG
rnacentral:rRNA from 1 species